rnacentral:rRNA from 1 species
AUGACCAUAGAUCGAACCUAUCCUAUUUUUACAGUGCGAUGGCUGGCUAUUGACGGACUAGCUGUACCUACUUUUUUCUUGGGAUCAAUAUCAGCAAUGCAGUUCAUCCAAUGA